UACGUAGGGUGCAAGCGUUUAAUCGGAAUACUGGGCGUAAAGCGUGCGCAGGCGGUUAUGUAAGACAGGUGUGAAAUCCCCGGGCUUAACCUGGGAACUGCAUUUGUGACUGCAUAGCUAGAGUACGGUAGAGGGGGAUGGAAUUCCGCGUGUAGCAGUGAAAUGCGUAGAUAUGCGGAGGAACACCGAUGGCGAAGGCAAUCCCCUGGACCUGUACUGACGCUCAUGCACGAAAAGCGUGGGGAGCAAACAGG
rnacentral:rRNA from 1 species